rnacentral:rRNA from 1 species
GUCUGCGUGGAGCCGACCUUGAAAUACCACCCUUUAAUGUUUGAUGUUCUAACGUGGACCCGUAAUCCGGGUUGCGGACAGUGUCUGGUGGGUAGUUUGACUGGGGCGGUCUCCUCCUAAAGAGUAACGGAGGAGCACGAAGGUUGGCUAAUCCUGGUCGGACAUCAGGAGGUUAGUGCAAUGGCAUAAGCCAGCUUGACUGCGAGCGUGACGGCGCGAGCAGGUGCGAAAGCAGGUCAUAGUGAUCCGGUGGUUCUGAAUGGAAGGGCCAUCGCUCAACGGAUAAAAGGUACUCCGGGGAUAACAGGCUGAUACCGCCCAAGAGUUCAUAUCGACGGCGGUGUUUGGCACCUCGAUGUCGGCUCAUCACAUCCUGGGGCUGAAGUAGGUCCCAAGGGUAUGGCUGUUCGCCAUUUAAAGUGGUACGCGAGCUGGGUUUAGAACGUCGUGAGACAGUUCGGUCCCUAUCUGCCGUGGGCGCUGGAGAACUGAGGGGGGCUGCUCCUAGUACGAGAGGACCGGAGUGGACGCAUCACUGGUGUUCGGGUUGUCAUGCCAAUGGCACUGCCCGGUAGCUAAAUGCGGAAGAGAUAAGUGCUGAAAGCAUCUAAGCACGAAACUUGCCCCGAGAUGAGUUCUCCCUGAGACUUA